GAGGAGGACAUGCUCCAAAUACUAGAAUUGAUCUUGUGGCCAGUGUGGAGGGCUGUUAUCUCUGUACAUGAGAUACCCACUCCACCAGCCGAGCUCCAGCCGCACCCCGACGUGCACCAUCACCCUCCUCUAAGAGGUGAAAGAUGAGCCGGCUGAUGAUAAGAUUCUUUUCUUUGUGACUGAAAUUCAGCAAAAACACUUCCUGCUUUUAUACCUCGGCCUUUAAAUCCAAUAUUUAGUUCAACUCACGUUCGGUGCGUUAUCUCUAACCUGCACCAUCAGCUGAUAUUCUCAGGCUCUGAUUUAUGCUAAGAAUUACAUUUUAGGUUUGAGGAUUUCGCCAUGUGAGAAAAAAAUCAUCUAUUAAUGUUUAAGGAUUCAGGAGGUAAUCUUUUUAGUUUUGUUAAAAAAAUACGGAAACUGGCCUCAUUUCAUUUAUAAGGACAUAUCUUACAAAGUACCUAAAGUGAACAAGUCAUGAUGGCGAUAUUAUCUCCCUACAACAUUCUCACGUUUUAGUGCAGACUGACUUCUUCUAACUCCAAUAUUAACACAAUUCCAAUUGCAGUUAAAGUUGAGGUAGGAAGGAAUACGUUAAAGAAGCAUCUUUUUUGUGGAGUAAAUACAAAAAAGUGUUUAAUAUCAGUCAAUAGUUAUUAGUUAUUGAUGACAUUUGGUAAUAUAUCGAUAUCUCUGUGUUCUCUUAUGUCUGUGUCGUCAACAUUUGAACAUUUUUGAGCGGUCCACUCUUUCUGACUGUAAACAAAGCCGUUCUCCACCUCCUCUAACCUGAUUGGUUGUGAGGCAGACGCUGCUCCCCCGUGUCGUUCAGGAGCCCAAACAAAGUUAGCGUGCUACAAUAUCGGACAGUAGAAACCAACCAGAAAGUUCGGAAAAUUGUCUGAAUCCUCCUUUGGCCACGACUGCCGACACAAGCAAGAAAACAAAGUAAAUACCGGAGACUCUGGAGGAAUAACGGGCGCUUAAAACGGAGGUAGACCGGACAAGAGCUAAAAAGCCGGGUCAACAUAAACGAUGGGGGACGCUUGGGGAUCUUGGUGACCCUGUAACCUUUCUGCUGGACAGGUAAACCGCUUUAACAAAGUAAGACAAGUGUCUGUAACAGAAGUGUUUCUUGUCAAACGGACCUGCUGUAGCGUGUUGUAGCGCCAUCGCUAAACUGUCCUCCCUCGGGUCCUGGACUAUGUCACUUUAUCCUCGUUGUAGAAGUCCUGCAAACAUUGUGUUUGCUGGUAGUCUGUUGGCAUCUACAGUAGCACCAAUGCUUUUGACUUUCACCUUGACUGGGCCCCAUUUGUAAUGAUCUGAAGUAUUGAUCUGCAUUAUAUCUGAAUUUAAUCGGAACGAUACGAGCGAGCAGGAGCGUCUGUUUGUGGGCGGGGCUUAAGAGAGGGAGGGGAGAGGAGGAGCUGAGGGGAAAACUGGUUUGGAGGGGUAGAGUUUACAUUCAAGAUUUCUCCUAAAAACUGGAACUUCCUCAGACCUUGACUACCCCACCUUUAAUUGCAGAAUUUCAUUAGCCCAUUGUGUUCAAUCACAUUUUAAUUGCACGUUUUAAAUCGCACUAAUUUAGCUUUAGCUCUCCGUUCUUUCCAGGAGCCCCCCUCUGUUUCCUCCAGGUUCUGUACGCCUGAAAAUAUCGUUCUCCUUCAUGUAAAGGCGAACGACUGAGUCUUUCACACUGAGUCAGUUUAGUAUAAAGUUCACGUCACUUUAGACACACCAACCUAGCCAACCGCUCUCUUCAUCAGCUGCUGUCUAAUGGUUCAGGUUCCAGCAGACACCACAUGCAAAUUGCUUGUUGAAUCUGUCCGUAGGAGAUGUGCAAAUGUCGGUCAAAGCCUUUAAUUUGGGCCUCCAGGAAGACGGCGCAUUAGAGAGAAAUAUAAUUUGUUUGACGGACACAUUUAAUCUGCAAAGGGAAAAUGAAAAAGGUAAAAACUUUUGCAGAACUGGACUUAAAAAACUCAGUUCUCUCCAAAGUCGAUUCCCUUCCUGUUAUCUCUCUUUGUUUUUUAAAUGGCGUACAUCAAAAAUUAGCAUCGCUUUUAUACUUUCCAGUCUGAUUGAGCGAUGUCCACGCCACCACUUUGACGAGACAGUCUCCUUCAACUUCUUCAUCAACUCCAUUUGAUAAAAGAACGAGAGGUACUCAUAUAACCAAAUUCAGAUCCCAUUAAGAUUUAAUCAGGCCUGAGGGAACAAGAGGAGAUGAGAUAAGAGAUCCAAGAACUGUGCGGGAACCUUUUAUCCGUCUAUCUCAGACCCCCCGUCCAUUUCGAACAUCCCUUUUUACUCCGGACAACUUUUUAAAUCCUCAAACAGAACUUGGUGCGAAUCCUGUGAUGUUUUAGUUACACGUUACCGCAGACGAGCUCUGCAAUAACACAACUGACACAUUAUUUCACCAAUUUGCCCUUAAUUGACCAACAGAGAAAAGGUAGAGGUGGAUGAAAAGAAACAAAAAGGUAAGAGAAGAAAGACGGCAGGCAAACAUAAAGGCGUUGAGUCUCCUCUGGAGUACGGAGCGGUCUAAAUGAAUGACAUAAAUAGGACAGUUUCCUCACUGUCUGAUGCCUUGAGUGUUGCACCACUUCUCUUUUGCUGCAAGGACAACAGCGUGAUUAGCGGCUGGAUGUCACAGCAGUUCACGCUAUCUCCCUGCACCUCUAUCUCACUCAUGCGCCCGAGGCCUUAUUAGAUUUUGUUGUCCGUGUGCAUGCAUCUGUAUAUGUGUGAGUGUGUGUGUGUGUGUGUGUGUGUGUGUGUGUGUGUGUGUGUGUGUGUGUGUGUGUGUGUGUGUGUUUCCUUCAACCCUUUGCUCCCCGUUUCAGACGACACUGAUUUACAUGCAGUCUCUGUGUUUGGACUGAACCACUCCCGUUGUGAAAAAUGUUUUAUUCCUUUACUUUGGGAGUGCUGCUCACCAUACUGACCAUGAAGUCGUUUUUAAAAGGUCAGCUCACCACAAAUCAGUCGGUUUUUUUACGACCUUUACUUGCGCAGUUUGGGUUUAAUUGGUCAAUUUUCCUGGUUGGAGAAAAUGAACCAAUCAGAGCUCAGCAGGGGUUCAAAGAAUGGAGUUGAAAACAAGACAAGAACGUUUUUCUUUGCCCUUUUGGUCGCCUUAAGGAGUUUUUGAUCAUUAAAAGCACGACUGCCAUUGUGUUUUAUUAGCAUCUCAUGAAAAGGACGUCUUAAGAGGACGUAACACGCACUUCAAAUUCCUGUCAAUGCUUUCAAAGACCCCGCUGAUCGAUAAAGAGUCGGUCUCUUCGCAGCAUGUUAUGUUUGCACACGACUGCUUCAUUUAAGCGAUCAAUCGAUAUUUAUUAAAUGUCAAAUCCGAACAAAUGUCACUUAAAGGUGUUUUACAGAAAGGUUAGGUCGAGCCGAUACUCCAUCCAUCCAUUUAUCCGUCUUUUCCAGCUUAUCCGGAGUCAGGUCAGAGGGGAGGAAGUCUGAGCAGGGAAGCCCACACUUCCUCUCCUCGAGCCACUUUGGGGUCUUCCCCGUGAUCUCCGAACGGUGGGAGGUGCCCUGAACAACCCACCAGCGAGGAAUCCUGAUGAGAUGCCCAAGCCACCUCAUCUGACUCCUCUAAACAUGGAGGAGCAGCAGCUCUAGUCCGAGCCCCUCCUGGAUGACCGAACUUCUCAUCCUAUAUUUAACGGAGAGCCCAGACACCAAGAGGAGAAAACUCAUUUCAGCGGUUUGCACCCGUGAUCUAGUUCUUUGACUCAUCAUGUACAGCUCGUGACCAUCGGUGAGGGUAGGAACGUUGAUCGACCGGUACAUCCAGAGCUCUGCCUUUUGAGUCUAUUCUGUUUGUUUUAUCGUUUACCAACCACCAACAUCAAGAUAAGAUUGAGUGAGGACAAGGGAAAUGCAUGUGCAGUAUGAUAAUAUGAUAAUCUUGCUGGAUUACUUCUUAAUCCAGCAAGAUUAUAAACUUUUCCAUGAAUGCUGGCCUGGAAUAUCACUGGUGUUGUUGUAUUGCAGCCAUAAAACUCUACAACCCAGAUGAUGGUGGAGGGAUCUCCCAGCUAUAAAGUGAUCUAGAGAGUGGAGAUAUCGUUGUAUGAAGAGUUUGUCUAAUCAAUCUUUGUUUAUAGUGACCGGAACAGAAAUGUGGACAUCAACCUGCAGACUCUGUGAUCUCAUGUUCUUCUCAGGUGUUUCCUCACCUCUAUAAAGGGUUGAAGCUUAAAUCACAUUUUUGUUCAAACAUGUAAGAAAUUACUCGUCAGGAUGUCAUUAAUUAAAACAAAGAAUCACUGCCUAGGCUGCACUUAAAUCUGAAGGUUGUUGAAUUGGAUGGAUGCUGUAGGAGAGCAGGCUCAUCACAUCAGUGUAGGGCUGCACGAUUUAGGCCAAAAAUAAAAUCCAGAUUUUUUUCUCUGAAAACUCGAUUUUUGAUUUUUUAUUCAGUGACAACUUCACCAAACUUCACUUUAAUAAAAAGUUUUUCUAUCAUCUUUUAAAACCAAACCACUGAAAACAAUGUAGUUCAUAUGCCAAGCCAGUAAGUGGCGCUGUAACGCAGAAGAAGAGUACAGAGCAUGUGUAUAAAGGUUGUUUUGGCGCCAUAAAAGAGUUCCUCUGUGUGUCACAUGAUCGUUUCCACGCGGAGAUGAAAUGAUCGCUGUUUACAGAUUUAUUCACUCUCUGACCCGUUUUUAAAAAGUACCGUUUACAGUCACCUGAAACACCAGUACGACAAAAAACGUUAGCAUUUCCUCCUGAAUUAGUUUCUGUGGUGACGGGUUGAUACCGCCUUCAGACAGACUGUCUGAAGGCGGUGUGUGUGUGGGAACUGUGGAGCCUACAGUGGCCACGAGGCACGAGACAUGAUAGAGAGGAAAACUGAUUUGAGGAUUUACAUUUUUUUAACAUCGUCAUAAUCAAAUAAUCUGAUCGUGAUUUAAAAAUCGAUUGAUCGUGCAGCCCUACAUCAGAGACGUCGUCUUUGUUUAAGCUCUGUGUAAAAAAAUCUCUCAUUACCUCUUAAAGACUUUAAUAAAGUCUUUAGAAGUUAACUUUUACGUUGUUUGUUUUCU